rnacentral:piRNA from 2 species
UUGUUUACUAGUUAGGCACAGCAGA